AUGAGUACUGAUGCAACGGAAGAGAUUGCCAAGGCUAAAAGAGAAGGUCAGAGAGUCAUCGGGGAACCUGUGGUAUCUGGGUUAGUCCUUGAUGAUUAUUGGCUUUGGGAUCCUGACUUUGCAACUGCUUCAAAGUAUGUGAUGAGUCCUCCAAUCCGGGAAGCAGGGCAUAAUAAAGCACUUCAAGCUGCUCUUUCAUCAGGAAUAUUACAGCUUGUGGGAACUGAUCAUUGCACCUUCAAUUCCACUCAGAAAGCUUUCGGUUCUGAUGAUUUCAGGAAGAUUCCCAAUGGCGUAAAUGGUAAGCCAUAG
rnacentral:rRNA from 1 species